rnacentral:miRNA from 1 species
AUUAUUAAUAUUUUUAUUAGAUAAUAAUAAUAAUAAUAAUAAAUUUAUUAUCAUUAAAUAAUUAUUACUAAAAAUAAAUUUUGUUGUAGUAUAA